rnacentral:rRNA from 1 species
GUCGUCAGCUCGUGUUGUGAAAUGUUGGGUUAAGUCCCGCAACGAGCGCAACCCUUAUCCUUUGUUGCCAGCGGUUCGGCCGGGAACUCAAAGGAGACUGCCAGUGAUAAACUGGAGGAAGGUGGGGAUGACGUCAAGUCAUCAUGGCCCUUACGACCAGGGCUACACACGUGCUACAAUGGCAUAUACAAAGAGAAGCGACCUCGCGAGAGCAAGCGGACCUCAUAAAGUAUGUCGUAGUCCGGAUUGGAGUCUGCAACUCGACUCCAUGAAGUCGGAAUCGCUAGUAAUCGUAGAUCAGAAUGCUACGGUGAAUACGUUCCCGGGCCUUGUACACACCGCCCGUCACACCAUGGGAGUGGGUUGCAAAAGAAGUAGGUAGCUUAACCUUCGGGAGGGCGCUUACCACUUUGUGAUUCAUGACUGGGGUGAAGUCGUAACAAGGUAACCGUAGGGGAACCUGCGGUUGGAUCACCUCCUUACCUUAAAGAA